CUUGGUCAUUUAGAGGAAGUAAAAGUCGUAACAAGGUUUCCGUAGGUGAACCUGCGGAAGGAUCAUUAUCAUACAACUGAGGUGCAAAGGCUGUCGCUGACUUUUCGUCGUGCACGCCCGAGUGCUCUCAAACAUAUCCAUCUCACCCCUGUGCACCACCGCGUGGGUUCCCUUUUGGCUCGUUCCGAGGGGGGGCUCGCGUUUUCACACAAACUUGAUACGGUAUAGAAUGUCUUUGUUUGCGAUCACACGCAAUUAAUACAACUUUCAACAACGGAUCUCUUGGCUCUCGCAUCGAUGAAGAACGCAGCGAAAUGCGAUACGUAAUGUGAAUUGCAGAAUUCAGUGAAUCAUCGAAUCUUUGAACGCACCUUGCGCCCCUUGGCAUUCCGAGGGGCACACCCGUUUGAGUGUCGUGAAAUUCUCAAAACCUUUCUUUUGGUCUUAUCGAUCGGGGGAAGGGUUUUGGACUUGGAGGCUUUUGCUGGUUUCAUCUUGAAGCGAGCUCCUCCCAAACGAAUUAGUGGGGUCCGCUUUGCCGAUCCUUGACGUGAUAAGAUGUUUUCUACGUCUUGGGUUUGGCACUGUCACUUGGGCACCUGCUUCUAACCGUCUCAUUGACAAUGAUGGCGUUCCGGUCACUGCCAUCUACAUUGGCGGGAGGCUGGACCCACAAAAGAAAACCUUGACCUCAAAUCGGGUGAGACUACCCGCUGAACUUAAGCAUAUCAAUAAGCGGAGGA
rnacentral:rRNA from 1 species